GGAGAGUUUAUUGUUGUUAGAGUUCAUAUAAAUACAGUGAUAUAACAUUAUUUGAAAGUAGAUUGUGAUAAGGUAGACAUAUAUUGUGACUCGUUUUGAAAAUAAAGCAUCUUCGAAGCAUUUGAUUAAUUGCAGUUUAAAAGUAAUACAAAGGAAAAAGAUGCCCUAUUUCUUAAAUAUACACAAUUUUAUUACUAUGUGCAUUUACAUGUACAAAUAUUAUCUUACAACCCUAGAUAUCCCUUCUACACUAAAGAUUAGAAACUGACCACAAGCUAUGAGAACCAGUGAAGUCCAUAUGAAAGCCAGAAAAAAAAUGCUAAGGUCAGCACUUACAUGCUAAUAAGCAAUUUAAUCCUGAAACAGAAGCUGAAUAGGAGCCUUAAAACAAAACCUAAGCAAGGGGACAAAGGAGCUUGAGUAUGAUUUAAUUAUAUUGGAUGUAUUAGUUCAUAUACUGCUUUCUCUCAAACCAAGAAUCAGUUCUACCUUUUCAGUCUAUCAACCCUAUUUAGUGAGAUCGUUAGAGAAACUAUAAGACUAUAUAAUAAUGAUGAGAGCUACAAACACCUAAUAUUGCAUGUUCAAUGCUAUUCUGUACUUUGACCGGCCUGUUCUACAGCAGAAAUAUCAAUAGAUAAGAAUACUGUUAAGAAAUAAGAAAAAAGUUAAAAAAUGUAGCAAAGUGGCAAAAAGUUGUGGCCCACAAACCCGCGCAUGCUUAAUCUGUAUUGACAACGUUGGGAGAGGCAAUGACCAUAGGCCCUGAGUGUCCCUGCACAUUCUUGCUGAAUAUGCCAAGAGUACAAGAUGCUGAUCAUUUUUCA
rnacentral:lncRNA from 10 species